rnacentral:rRNA from 1 species
GACGAACGCUGGCGGCGUGCCUAACACAUGCAAGUCGAGCGGGAUCCAUCCAGUAGCAAUACUGGUGAAGAUCUAGCGGCGAACGGGUGAGUAACACGUGAGAAACCUGCCCCGGACUCUGGGAUAACACGAGGAAACUCGUGCUAAUACCGGAUACCUUCUUUUGGUCGCAUGGCCAGCUGAAGAAAGAUUUAUCGGUUUGGGAGGGUCUCGCGGCCUAUCAGCUAGUUGGCGGGGUAACGGCCCACCAAGGCAUCGACGGGUAGCUGGUCUGAGAGGACGAUCAGCCACACUGGGACUGAGACACGGCCCAGACUCCUACGGGAGGCAGCAGUGGGGAAUCUUGCGCAAUGGGCGAAAGCCUGACGCAGCAACGCCGCGUGCGGGAUGAAGGCCUUCGGGUUGUAAACCGCUUUCAGCAGGGAAGAAAAUGACGGUACCUGCAGAAGAAGCCCCGGCCAAAUACGUGCCCGCCGCCGCGGUAACACGUAGGGGGCCAGCGUUGUCCGGAUUU